GAUGAACGCUGGCGGCGUGCCUAAUACAUGCAAGUCGAGCGAACAGACGAGGAGCUUGCUCCUCUGACGUUAGCGGCGGACGGGUGAGUAACACGUGGAUAACCUACCUAUAAGACUGGGAUAACUUCGGGAAACCGGAGCUAAUACCGGAUAAUAUAUUGAACCGCAUGGUUCAAUAGUGAAAGACGGUUUUGCUGUCACUUAUAGAUGGAUCCACGCCGCAUUAGCUAGUUGGUAAGGUAACGGCUUACCAAGGCAACGAUGCGUAGCCGACCUGAGAGGGUGAUCGGCCACACUGGGACUGAGACACGGUCCAGACUCCUACGGGAGGCAGCAGUAGGGAAUCUUCCGCAAUGGGCGAAAGCCUGACGGAGCAACGCCGCGUGAGUGAUGAGGGUCUUCGGAUCGUAAAACUCUGUUAUUAGGGAAGAACAAAUGUGUAAGUAACUAUGCACGUCUUGACGGUACCUAAUCAGAAAGCCACGGCUAACUACGUG
rnacentral:rRNA from 1 species